rnacentral:rRNA from 1 species
GCGCAGCAGUCGCGAAAACUUCACAAUGUGCGAAAGCACGAUGAGGGAAUCCCAAGUGCUUGCACGUAAGUGUAAGCUGUUUCUCUGUCUAAAACGCAGAGAGAGUAAGGGCUGGGUAAGACGGGUGCCAGCCGCCGCGGUAAUACCUGCAGCUCGAGUGGUGACCGUUAUUAUUGGGCCUAAAACGUCCGUAGCCGGUUUAAUAAAUGCCUGGGUAAAUCGGACCGCUUAACGGUUCGAAUUCCGGGUAGACUGUUAAACUUGAGACCGGGAGAAGUUAGAGGUACUCCCGGGGUAGAGGUGAAAUUCUGUAAUCCUAGGGGGACCACCAGUGGCGAAGGCGUCUAACUAGAACGGGUCUGACGGUGAGGGACGAAGCCCGUGGGGCG